rnacentral:rRNA from 1 species
GACGAACGCUGGCGGCGUGCUUAACACAUGCAAGUCGAACGGAAAGGCCCUGCUUUUGUGGGGUGCUCGAGUGGCGAACGGGUGAGUAACACGUGAGUAACCUGCCCUUGACUUUGGGAUAACUUCAGGGAACUGGGGCUAAUACCGGAUAGGAGCUCCUGCUGCAUGGGGGGGGUUGGAAAGUUUCGGCGGUUGGGGAUGGACUCGAGGCUUAUCAGCUUGUUGGUGGGGUAGUGGCUUACCAAGGCUUUGAAGGGUAGCCGGCAUGAGAGGGGGAACGGCGACCUGGCGCCUGAGAGACGGCGCAGAAGCCUACGGGAGGCAGCAGGGGGGAACAUGGCAGAAUGGGCGGAAGCGAGAUGCAGAGACGUCGCGUGCGGGAUGAUGGGCUUCGGGGGGUAAACCGCUGUCGCAUGAGAUGAAGCGGGAGUGACGGUAAUGGGUAAAGAAGCAACGGCUAACUACGUG